CAAACAAUCAAGGCCUCUGUCUGAACAAGCAGAAUCUCUGCUGCAGUGUCCUGAGAAUGCACAGUCCAUCUAAAUAAGGACAUUCCCAUAGUUUGGGGGUCCGCAAUCUCCCCAGAUCUCUAUGUCCAUGUCUAUGUCCACGUGGCUUCUCUGUGUUCUGGUGAUUUAGCCAGAGUGCCUGACUUUAUAAUUUUUCUGAUCUAAGCUGCGGUGGUGACUUUAAUGAAGUUUCUACCUGCAGUAUUUCCAUUAGUAUUCAAGGUUAAGUUAGCAUUUUUGUCAUUGUAUUGUUGCUAUUUUUGCCUGUUUAUUUAGCAUUGUUGGCUCUUUAAACUAAGUCUCUGUUGUCACUAAGUGCUAAUCUGUUACAAUUCAUUCUCACUUUCAUUUGAGGAUCAAACGCGUCUGACACCCUGGGGCAUGGCUUAAAGUUUGGCCAGAGUUUUUGUUUUAAUAUUUAUUGUGGCUGUCAUCGCUCAUUCC